rfam:Loxodonta africana unplaced genomic scaffold scaffold_44, whole genome shotgun sequence.
GCAAUGGUGGUUCAGUGGUAGAAUUCUCACCUCCCACGCAGAAGACCCAGGUUCAAUUCCUGGCCAGUGCA